AUAAUAGUCAUCAGAAGAGUAAUUCUUCCUUUCUUUUUUAGAGAGCUGGUAGUAGGUGUAAACCAGAAUGAAGGUGGAAUGAAUGGGCUGAGGAAAAUUGACGAGUAACGUGAACACAUAAACGUUAGGUUUGGCACCCCUUACCGUGCAACUUCUUUGUUGAGAAGUUUUAAGAUGAUAACUUUACAAAGAGUUAUCAACUGAGGUGGUACCGCGUAUCAAAAGUGAUUAACGCCCUCACG
rnacentral:ncRNA from 1 species